GAUGAACGCUGGCGGCGUGCCUAAUACAUGCAAGUCGAGCGAACAGACGAGGAGCUUGCUCCUCUGACGUUAGCGGCGGACGGGUGAGUAACACGUGGAUAACCUACCUAUAAGACUGGGAUAAAUUCGGGAAACCGGAGCUAAUACCGGAUAAUAUAUUGAACCGCAUGGUUCAAUAGUGAAAGACGGUUUUGCUGUCACUUAUAGAUGGAUCCGCGCCGCAUUAGCUAGUUGGUAAGGUAACGGCUUACCAAGGCAACGAUGCGUAGCCGACCUGAGAGGAUGAUCAGCCACACUGGAACUGAGACACGGUCCAGACUCCUACGGGAGGCAGCAGUGGGGAAUCUUCCACAAUGGGCGAAAGCUUGACGGAGCAACGCCGCGUGAGUGAAGAAGGUCUUCGGAUCGUAAAACUCUGUUAUUAGGGAAGAACAAAUGUGUAAGUAACUAUGCACGUCUUGACGGUACCUAAACAGAAAGCCACGGCUAACUACGUG
rnacentral:rRNA from 1 species